rnacentral:lncRNA from 1 species
CAUCGCAAAACCUGUGAUCCCCUCUUAAUAGUGUGGGAUCCCUAAGGACUCAAGAAUCAUAAAAGAGUACUGAUGAUCCAUACUUGAGUGUAUACUUUUAUUCGCUGAUCAUCACUCCGCACAACUAACGUCAAAGGAACUGAUACCUUUGAGUUAGCCCUUUCACCUGAGCUUGAUGUUGUUGUUCCUUCUUGGCUCAAGUUGAAAGCAAGACAUGAUGAAGUCUUCAAGUAGCUUUCCCAUACAUAAUGCGGAAAGCCUAGCUUAUGUAUU